rnacentral:rRNA from 1 species
UUGAACGCUGGCGGCAUGCUUUACCCAUGCAAGUCGAACGGUAACAGGCCGCAAGGUGCUGACGAGUGGCGAACGGGUGAGUAAUGCAUCGGAACGUGCCCAGUCGUGGGGGAUAACUACUCGAAAGAGUAGCUAAUACCGCAUACGAUCUAUGGAUGAAAGCGGGGGACCGUAAGGCCUCGCGCGAUUGGAGCGGCCGAUGUCAGAUUAGGUAGUUGGUGGGGUAAAGGCUCACCAAGCCAACGAUCUGUAGCUGGUCUGAGAGGACGACCAGCCACACUGGGACUGAGACACGGCCCAGACUCCUACGGGAGGCAGCAGUGGGGAAUUUUGGACAAUGGGCGCAAGCCUGAUCCAGCAAUGCCGCGUGCAGGAAGAAGGCCUUCGGGUUGUAAACUGCUUUUGUACGGAACGAAACGGCUCUGGUUAAUACCCGGGGCUAAUGACGGUACCGUAAGAAUAAGCACCGGCUAACUACGUG